rnacentral:rRNA from 1 species
UUUAGAGGAAGUAAAAGUCGUAACCAAGGUUUCCGUAGGUGAACCUGCGGAAGGAUCAUUAUUGAAUAAACAUUUGAUAGGCUGUUGCUGGCCCUUGUAAGGAAGGGUAGUGUGCACGCUUGUCAUUUAUUUGUUUGUUUUUCCACCUGUGCACCUUUUUGUAGACCUUAGAAUUUGGGGACUGCUGUGCGAGUGCCAGCUUUUCCUUGUCUCUCUCUAGGUUCUAUGUUUUUCACAUACUCCUACGAAUGUAAUAGAAUGUUGAUCUGGGUCUUUGAUGCCCAUAAAGUUAUAUACAACUUUCAGCAAUGGAUCUCUUGGCUCUCGCAUCGAUGAAGAACGCAGCGAAAUGCGAUAAGUAAUGUGAAUUGCAGAAUUCAGUGAAUCAUCGAAUCUUUGAACGCAUCUUGCGCUCCUUGGUAUUCUGAGGAGCAUGCCUGUUUGAGUGUCAUUAAAUUCUCAACCUACACUGACUUUUGAAUGGUGUGGCUUGGAUUUGGGAUUUGUGGGCUAUUGUCGUAGUCUGCUCCCCUGAAAUUGAUUAGCAGUGCCUUGGUGGAACUGUCUACAGGUGUGAUAAUUAUCUACAUCCUAGACAUCUGCUUGAUGCUGCUUUCUAAACCUUACCUCUAUUGACAAUCUUGACCUCAAAUCAGGUAGGACUACCCGCUGAACUUAAGCAUAUCAA